rnacentral:rRNA from 1 species
GGAGUUAGCCGGUGCUUCUUCUGUGAGUGAUGUCCUUCCUGCCGGCUAUUAACCCGCAGGCCUUCUUCCUCACUGAAAGUGCUUUACAACCCGAAGGCCUUCUUCACACACGCGGCAUGGCUGGAUCAGGGUUGCCCCCAUUGUCCAAUAUUCCCCACUGCUGCCUCCCGUAGGAGUCUGGGCCGUGUCUCAGUCCCAGUGUGGCUGAUCAUCCUCUCAGACCAGAUACGGAUCGUCGCCUUGGUGAGCCGUUACCUCACCAACCAGCUAAUCCGACAUAGGCUCAUCCGAUAGCGCGAGGCCCGAAGGUCCCCCGCUUUCCCCCGUAGGGCGUAUGCGGUAUUAGCCUGGGUUUCCCCAGGUUAUCCCCCACUACCGGGCAGAUUCCUAUGCAUUACUCACCCGUCCGCCGCUCGCCACCAGGGAGCAAGCUCCCCGUGCUGCCGCUCGACUUGCAUGUGUUAGCCGUGCCGCCACGCGUUCAAUCUGAGCGAGAAUACAACUACUGA